GAUCAUUGACAUACUGACAAGGCUAAAAAACAAAGAGAUAACUAACGUAGAGAGGCUCUAAGCCCUCUACACGUGACUAACAAUACAGCUUGCAAGUCUAGACCUAACGUGCUAGACGUUGAACCAGCAAAAGCGGUGAAGCCCUCGCAGGGUGAUGAACGCAGAGGCUGGCAACCUCGCCCCUCGUAAAGGGCUUGCAAGCAC
rnacentral:sRNA from 1 species